rnacentral:rRNA from 1 species
AACGAACGCUGGCGGCAUGCCUAACACAUGCAAGUCGAACGAGAUCUUCGGGUCUAGUGGCGCACGGGUGCGUAACGCGUGGGAAUCUGCCCUUUGGUUCGGAAUAACAGUUGGAAACGACUGCUAAUACCGGAUGAUGACGAAAGUCCAAAGAUUUAUCGCCAGAGGAUGAGCCCGCGUAGGAUUAGCUAGUUGGUGUGGUAAAGGCGCACCAAGGCGACGAUCCUUAGCUGGUCUGAGAGGAUGAUCAGCCACACUGGGACUGAGACACGGCCCAGACUCCUACGGGAGGCAGCAGUGGGGAAUAUUGGACAAUGGGCGAAAGCCUGAUCCAGCAAUGCCGCGUGAGUGAUGAAGGCCUUAGGGUUGUAAAGCUCUCUUACCCGGGAUGAUAAUGACAGUACCGGGAGAAUAAGCUCCGGCUAACUCCGUGCCAGCAGCCGCGGUAA